GUUUUAUUUUGUUCUUUGUAUAAUUAAGUUGAGAUAUUUAUCAGAAAUACAAUCGUUUGCUACCAUUAUUUUCAAGGAUAAUUUAACACAUAAUAAAAUGAAGUAUUUAGGUUUGCAAUCAUGGUCAUACAAUUUUAUGCCAUAUUUUCCAAUUUCUCAGAGAAAUUAUAAAACUAACAGUAAGGAAUCAUCCCCUUCUGUCAUUGCAGCUGACGAUGGGGUGAACUCUGGUCGACCUGUGGUCAUAAAAUUUUAAGGAAUCUCGUAAAGAUGUUGAUUAAAUUUACGCACUGUAAUAAACUAUGCAG
rnacentral:lncRNA from 1 species